rnacentral:rRNA from 1 species
AUGAAGUGGGCGGUUAGAGCAAAAGUGCGGCGCGUUGUACAAGGGGAUAACAACACACAAUUUUUCCAUAUGAUUGCAAAUGGAAAACAUAGGAAGAAGAAAAUAAUCCGGCUUGAACAGGAUGAGGGUACGAUUGUAGGUCAUGAGAACCUAAAGCUGUACAUCACUAACUAUUAUAAACAAUUGUUUGGGGAUCCAGUUGAGAAUUUUGUCAGCCUGGAUGAGGCAAGAGUAGAUGAUAUCCCUCAACUUCGGAAUGACGAGAAUGAGAUCCUCACAGCUCCUUUUUCUGAGAAGGAGGUAUAUGAGGCGAUUGCCCAAAUGAAAAACAAUAAAGCAUUUGGUCCGGAUGGUUUUCCAGCUGAAUUCUACAAGAAGUGUUGGGGUAUCAUUAAAGGAGAUUUGAUGUCUAUGUUUCAUGAUCUCUUUAAUGGGCACUUACAACUUUUCAAAUUAAAUUUUGGAACUAUCACUUUAUUGCCAAAGAAGGAGGAAGCAAUCCGCAUUGAGCAAUUUAGACUGAUAUGUCUACUCAAUGUGAGUUUUAAAAUUUUCACGAAAGUUGGCACAAACCAUCUUACACAGAUUGCACAUACGGUGGUUCAGCCAACGCAGACUGCUUUCAUGCCAGGGCGACAUAUCCUAGAAGGGGUGGUUGUCCUACAUGAGACCCUUCAUGAAAUCCACUCGAAGAAACUCGAUGGAGUGAUUUUCAAGGUGGAUUUCGAAAAGGCUUAUGGUAAAUUCAAAUGGCCUUUUCUGCAACAGGCCUUGCGCAUGAAAGGAUUUGAUGACGCCUGGAGAAAGCAGGUUGAAUCCUUUGUGCAGGGAGGCAGCGUUGGUAUUAAAGUGAAUGAUGAUAUUGGUCAUUACUUUCAGACGCUUAAGGGAUUAAGGCAAGGUGAUCCCAUGUCUCCAAUUAUGUUCAAUGUUGUUGUCGACAUGUUGACCGUUCUUGUUAAUAGGGCGAAACAAGAAGGCCAAGUAGGAGGUCUAAUCCCACAUUUGGUGGAUGGUGGGGUUUCCAUCCUACAGUAUGCGGAUGACACAAUUAUUUUUAUGGAACAUGACCUUGCGAAAGCAAGGAACAUGAAGUUAGUGCUUUGCUUGUUCGAACAACUAUCCGGACUUAAGAUUAAUUUUAAUAAGAGCGAAUUGUUCUGCUUUGGACGCGCCAAGGAGGAACAAGAAAGCUAUAAACAGUUGUUCGGAUGUGAAUUAGGUGCGCUUCCCUUUACAUAUCUAGGGAUACCAAUUCACCAUCGCAAACUAACUAACAAAGAAUGGAAGUGUAUUGAGGAUCGGUUUGAGAAGAAACUAAGUUGCUGGAAAGGCAAACUUUUAUCUUAUGGAGAAAGAUUAAUUCUUAUUAACUCGGUUCUGACUAGCAUGCCGAUGUUCCUCCUUUUUUUCUUUGAAGUACCAGUAGGAGUACGGAAAAGAUUAGACUUUUACCGAUCCAGAUUCUUUUGGCAAAUGGAUGAGAACAAGGCUAAAUAUAGGCUUGCCAGGUGGGAUAUAAUUUGUAGACCGAAGGACCAGGGUGGCUUGGGUGUUGAGAAUUUAGAGGUAAAAAACAGAUGCUUGCUGAGCAAAUGGUUAUAUCGUCUUUCGGUAGAGACAGAGGGUGUGUGGCUGCAGUUAUUGCGUAACAAAUACUUAUAUGCGAAGUCUUUGGCUCACGUAACGACACAACCCACCGACUCACCGUUUUGUAAAGGACUUAUGAGGACGAAAGUUGCUUUCUUUAACAAAGUGGGAUUUAGAGUAGGGAAUGGGCAAGGAACUAGAUUCUCGAAGGAUACCUGGUUAGGUGACACUCCAUUAGCGUUACAGUAUCCAAGUUUAUAUAACAUGGCACAACGGAAAGAUGUUUCGGUUGCUUCAGUGUUACAGUCCAGUCCGCUCAAUAUUCAUUUUAGACGGGCACUUAUAGGUCCACGUUGGGAUACAUGGUUGCAUCUCGUGCGUAGAUUAAUGGAUAUUAAUCUGUCGGAUGCCAAUGACACGAUAGUUUGGAAGUUAACGGUGUCAGGAGUCUUCACAAUUAAAACUAUGUAUACGGAUUUAAUCAAUACCGGAGACAUCCCAAGGUCGGGCCAUAUUUGGAGGAUUAAAGUGCCGUUGAAAAUAAAAGUGUUUAUGUGGUUUGUUCACAAAAGUGUCAUUUUAACCAAAGAUAGCCUAGCCAAACGUAAUUGGGUAGGGAGUUCCCGUUGUUGCUUUUGUGAUCAAAACGAAACAAUUGAACAUUUGUUUACCAAAUGCCCGCUUGCUAGGUUAUUCUGGAGAACUAUUCAUGUGGCUCUUAAUGUCAAUCCGUCAACUUCAAUAUCACAAUUCUUUCAUAACUGGCUGAACGGGGUGAGACCUCAGACAGCAGCACAAAUCAGAGUCGGAGCAUGUGUGUUGCUUUGGGCUAUAUGGAAUUGUCGGAAUGGCAUGGCUUUUAACAGACAACACAUUACUAAUUUUUUGCAGGUCAUCUUCAGAGCGUCUACAUGGAUCCGUACGUGGUCCUUGCUGAGCCAUACGGACCACAGGGCGCACAUGGCUAUUGGGUGCAACCGAUGGGAAACGGUUGCACGGGAUACUUACAACUGA